UUAACACAUGCAAGUCGAGCGGGGGAAGGUAGCUUGCUACUGGACCUAGCGGCGGACGGGUGAGUAAUGCUUAGGAAUCUGCCUAUUAGUGGGGGACAACAUCUCGAAAGGGAUGCUAAUACCGCAUACGUCCUACGGGAGAAAGCAGGGGAUCUUCGGACCUUGCGCUAAUAGAUGAGCCUAAGUCGGAUUAGCUAGUUGGUGGGGUAAAGGCCUACCAAGGCGACGAUCUGUAGCGGGUCUGAGAGGAUGAUCCGCCACACUGGGACUGAGACACGGCCCAGACUCCUACGGGAGGCAGCAGUGGGGAAUAUUGGACAAUGGGGGGAACCCUGAUCCAGCCAUGCCGCGUGUGUGAAGAAGGCCUUAUGGUUGUAAAGCACUUUAAGCGAGGAGGAGGCUACUCUAGUUAAUACCUAGGGAUAGUGGACGUUACUCGCAGAAUAAGCACCGGCUAACUCUGUGCCAGCAGCCGCGGUAAUACAGAGGGUGCGAGCGUUAAUCGGAUUUACUGGGCGUAAAGCGUGCGUAGGCGGCUUAUUAAGUCGGAUGUGAAAUCCCCGAGCUUAACUUGGGAAUUGCAUUCGAUACUGGUGAGCUAGAGUAUGGGAGAGGAUGGUAGAAUUCCAGGUGUAGCGGUGAAAUGCGUAGAGAUCUGGAGGAAUACCGAUGGCGAAGGCAGCCAUCUGGCCUAAUACUGACGCUGAGGUACGAAAGCAUGGGGAGCAAACAGGAUUAGAUACCCUGGUAGUCCAUGCCGUAAACGAUGUCUACUAGCCGUUGGGGCCCUUGAGGCUUUAGUGGCGCAGCUAACGCGAUAAGUAGACCGCCUGGGGAGUA
rnacentral:rRNA from 1 species